rnacentral:misc_RNA from 1 species
GAAAAUGGACUAGAUACUGCCCAAACGAUUGUGCCAAUAGAUAAAAGAAAAAGAACUACAAUAAGUCCAAACAAAAAAGAGUAAAAAUUGGUUGCAAGAGAAAAGGAUAGAAAUUUCAAUCUUCUUUGCUAAAAAUUACUUAUCUCAAGACCUCUCUAAUCCGUAUCAACAGAUCCAAAAACUUGUAUUACACACCGUUACUGCAAGAUCACGGGAAAAUUGCCUAUUCACGCCGCAUCAACUUAGUCAUCCUUUUUCAGUUUAAAUUUGCUUCGACAUAGCUGUAAGGAACCACGUGGUAUGCAUAUUGCAGCAGAACAGAAAAGAAAACCAUCUCCACACAAAUUAAAACAUUCUGAAUGGUUUCCUGAAGGUGCUCUGCAUCCAGCCAAAAAUGGUGAGAUUUGAUAACUAGAAUUUUAACGAGCAACCCCUGCAAAGUCGGAGAUGAACAAUUUAUUGCACCAGUGGUGGUAAAAACAUAUCUCGGGCAAAGCAUCAAAUGGAGAGAGAGGCUUCCUUACAGAAACAACACAACGAAGAACCAAUACCUCUUUUUUGGGAAGUUGAAAGAACCUCAAUAGUAAUGGAAUGCAAGUCAAAGAGGAUCUAAACAGGAUUCAACUUUUUAAUGGUGAUGUUUUUGUAUCCUUUUCUUGAUGGCCUAGAGGUUCAGUGGCUCGUGAUUUGAAACUCAGUGGAUAUGGAGCCUUUCUCCACUUAAAUACCUUGUUUGUGUGCAGCAGGGUUUCAACUCAUAACGCGAGCCUAACCCAACAAUCUAACUUCAGACACCUCAAUCAUGUUUGGGGCUAAAGUUAAGACACAAACUAUAUAUGCACGAUUUUAGAAGCUUCCACUAAAAUUUGUAACGACGAUUCAAUGAGAUCACCAAUAUACAUAUAUCAUCAACAAAAGCUUUCUUCUUUCAGUUUUUGUAAUAUAAGGUUUUUCUCUGUGUUGCUUUUUUGUAAUCACAAAAUCAUAAUUAGCAAAAAAAAAAAAAAGUAGGUAACAUCGCAUAUUUGAAACUCUCACAGUUUUGAGAACCAUGAAAACAAGCAUAUAAUAUUCAUAUCUGCCGACGCUUCAAGAGCAUCUGCCAGUAACACGAACUGAGAUUUUAUCUCGUGUUUCGUGAACAUCGCUACUCGAAAAGCUUGAUAUUGGAGGUUUUGUAGGCAAACGAUGAGGACGGUGAAGUCGGGUCGGAAAAUGACCGGAUGAAAAUUGCCAUGACCCCCUCAAGGUGAACGAGGGAGAAAUAAGUCCGGAAAAAAAGCCUAAAAUAUCAUUUAAAAUAUUGUAAAUGCUGUAAAUUAUUCUUUA